AGUCGCAAUCUGAUGCUGGCGUUAGACACACUUUACCAAGAGGUACCCAGGCUGUUGGUCAAUCUCGUGGAGAUCAUGCAGAUCGACACGCUAAAACAAGUCA